UGGGUGAAGGACAAGCAAUUCAGUGUUCAGAUUCCUCAGAAAUGUGAGAACAGUCCAGAAGCAUAUCUGCCAUCUUUUCCAAUAAAUCAAGAAGACCUCUCAAAAGAAGGAGUUAAUUCAUUUAACAACAGGGGAGGAACAACGUGUGAGUCAUCAAACAAUACAUCCACUAAGAAGAAUGGAGUCAUUCCAGAAGGAAUUAAUUUUCAAGAUACAGAUUUAUCAAGGACAGAAGAAAACAUUUCUCUGGUGAAAGACGAAAACCUGCAGAAUGGAGGAAGUGAGCAAAGAGAACAUGUGGAGCAGCCAGUAAAGCACGGCAAAAUUACUGGAGAAACUGUGAUACUCCCAGGUGGAAAAACAUGCAUAGUGAUCAUAUGCACAGCUGUGAAUCAUGGGCACAGUAAAGAGCUCCUGUUACUUGGUUUUUCUGAUUUUACUGUUGGACGCUAUAUUGAAGCCACUGUCACAAAUGAAGAAGAAUUACUUAUAGCACCUGUGGAACCAUUUUCUCCAAUAAAGCCUAAAAUUACUGCAAAUUCUCAGCUAAGGAAGACAACAGUGGCUGCCCCUAAAAGCAGAAGGUACUGUGAAUUAAAG